GAAAGUAAAGAAGGGCGCAUGGCGGAUGCCUUGGCUCUCGGAGGCGAUGAAGGACGUGAUAAGCUGCGAUAAGCUUUGGGGAGGUGCAAAUGACCUUUGAUCCAGAGAUUUCCGAAUGGGACAACCCAAUAUCUUGAAGAGGUAUUAUCUUACUAUGUAAGAGGCUAACGCAGGGAACUGAAACAUCUUAGUACCUGCAGGAAAAGAAAAUAAACAAUGAUUCCCCCAGUAGUGGCGAGCGAACGGGGAACAGCCCAAACCAUCCAUGUUACGGCAUGGGUGGGGUUGUAGGACUACGCCGUUGCAUGAAGACAUCAGAGAAGAACUUUCUGGAAAGAAAGACCAUAGAGCAUGACAGUUGCGUAUUCGAAUGUUGUCGAAGCAUAGUAGUAUCCUGAGUAGCGCGGAGCACGAGGAAUUCUGCGUGAAUCUGCCGGGACCAUCCGGUAAGGCUAAAUACUCCCGAGAGACCGAUAGCGAACCAGUACCGUGAGGGAAAGGUGAAAAGCACUUCGAACAGAAGAGUGAAAUAGUUCCUGAAACCGUGCGCCUACAAGCGGUCGGAGCUCGUUAAUGAGUGACGGCGUGCCUUUUGCAUAAUGAACCUACGAGUUGCCUUUGCCGGCAAGGUUAAGUGUGACGACACACGUAUCCGAAGCGAAAGCGAGUCUGAACAGGGCGUAUAGUCGGCAGUGGCAGACGCGAAACCAAGUGAUCUACCCUUGGCCAGGUUGAAGGCUGGGUAACACCAGCUGGAGGACCGCACCAAUAAGCGUUGAAAAGCUUCUGGAUGAGCUGAGGGUAGGGGUGAAAGGCUAAUCAAACUUGGAGAUAGCUCGUACUCCCCGAAAUGCAUUUAGGUGCAGCCUUGCGGGUUACUGAUGUGAGGUAGAGCGACUGAUAAGAUGCGAGGGCUUCACCGCCUAUCAAGUCUUGACAAACUCCGAAUGCGCAUCAGUUCUACCGCAGGAGUGAGGGCAUGGGUGCUAAGGUCCGUGCCCGAGAGGAGAAGAAUCCGGACCACCUGCUAAGGUCCCGAAAUGACAGCUAAGUUAAACUAACGAAGUCUGACUGCUAAGACAGCUAGGAUGUUGGCUUGGAAGCAGCCAUUCAUUUAAAGAGUGCGUAACAGCUCACUAGUCGAGGAGUCGGGCGUGGAUAAUAAUCGGGUAUCAAGUUGUCUACCGAAGCAGUGGGAUCAUUGAUAUGAUCGGUAGGGGAGCAUUCCAGUCGGCGUCGAAGGCGUACCGUGAGGUAUUCUGGAGCGUCUGGAAAAGCAAAUGUAGGUAUAAGUAACGAUAAAGGGGGCGGGAAACCCCCUCGCCGAAAGACUAAGGUUUCCUGAUCAACGCUAAUCGGAUCAGGGUCAGUCGGGUCCUAAGGCUCAGCCGAACGGCGAUGCCGAUGGCAGAAACGGUUAAUAUUCCGUUACUACCUUCAGGAGUGACGUGGAGACGCAGUAGUGACAGUGCCGCCAUCUGACGGAAUAGAUGGUUGAAGGGUGUAGGAGUCGAUCAUGGCAGGCAAAUCCACCAUGAGAUCCGAACCUGACAGUAUGCCGCGUCCUUCGGGACAAGGCAAUAGUGCGCGUAAGCAUGCUGCCGAGAAAAUCCGCUAAACUUAAUCCUGCAGGUACCCGUACCGCAAACGGACACACGUAGUCGGGAUGAAUAUUCUAAGGCGCUUGAGUGAUUCACGGUUAAGGAACUAGGCAAACUGACCCUGUAACUUCGGGAUAAAGGGUCCCUACCCUUUUAUGGGAGGGCGCAGAGAAUCGGUCCAGGCAACUGUUUAACAAAAACACAGGGCUGUGCCAAAUCGAAAGAUCCAGUAUACAGCCUGACACCUGCCCGGUGCUGGAAGGUUAAGAGGAGAUGUCAUCGAUAAGAGAAGCGUUGAAUUGAAGCCCCAGUAAACGGCGGCCGUAACUAUAACGGUCCUAAGGUAGCGAAAUUCCUUGUCGGGUAAGUUCCGACCUGCACGAAUGGUGUAAUGAUCUGGACGCUGUCUCAACCGUGAGCUCAGUGAAAUUGUAGUAUCGGUGAAGAUGCCGAUUACCCGCGAUGGGACGAAAAGACCCCGUGAACCUUUACUAUAGCUUAUCAUUGAAUCUGGGCACGUGAUGUGUAGGAUAGGUCGGAGGCUUUGAAGCAGGUACGCCAGUAUUUGUGGAGCCGCUGUUGAAAUACGACCCUUUAUUUGUUUGGAUUCUAACCCGUGGAACGGGGACAUUGAUUGGUGGGUAGUUUGACUGGGGUGGUCGCCUCCAAAAGCGUAACGGAGGCUUCUAAAGGUGCCCUCCGGCCGAUUGGUAACCGGCCUUAGAGUGUAAUGGCAUAAGGGCGCUUGACUGGGAGACUGACAAGUCGAUCAGGUAGGAAACUAGAGCAUAGUGAUCCGGUGUUUCCGUAUGGAAGGGACAUCGCUCAAAGGAUAAAAGGUACUCCGGGGAUAACAGGCUGAUCCCUCCCAAGAGCUCAUAUCGACGGAGUGGUUUGGCACCUCGAUGUCGGCUCGUCACAUCCUGGGGCUGGAGAAGGUCCCA
rnacentral:rRNA from 1 species